ensembl:lncRNA
AUUAAAUGUAUCUAAUGAAUUAAUUUGAUUUUAUAUGUUAUUCAAAAUGAACACAAAUUACUUUUCUAAAACAUUUUAUGUAAAAUAUUUAUCUUAAUAUGUGUGCUAUUUUAAAAAGAAAAUACCACUUGGUUUGAUGCAAGCAUACUGAUAUUGCAUUUAUAGGUGUGUUUAUUGUCUAAAUAAGUUUGGGACCAAAAUAAAAAGGGAGUAUAAGACAGAAUUGCAAAGAAAGAAAAAUGAUUUCAAGAAGAGAGAUGCAGCACCAGCACUGCAGGACAGUGUUUAAAUUGUGUCAAAGCUCUUGAAAGUCUCUCCAGUCCACCCUCAGUUUGAACAAUGCUGCAGGAUAUGCAGUGAAAAUUAUGUCAGAGAAAAAAAAGAGUUCACACUGACCAGUUUAUAGCCAUCUCUUCUUGUAUUCUGUAUUUUAUCCCAGGCUGCCAGCAGUGAGAGGAAACUUCUCAGUGUUGUAGGGUGUGACACAGGAAACAGGCUGAAGAGGGCUUGAGCAAAAGGCUGUGUAGCUGUGUGUGUGUGUGUGUGUGUGUGUGUGUGUGUGUGUGUGUGUGUGUGUGUGUGUGUGUGUGUGUUCAAUACGCACUGUUGUGUGUGUGCACUUGGAUGGAUUAAAUGCAAAAAAGCACAAAUUCAAAAUAUGGCUUGCCAUACUUGGCAUCACAUCACUCACUUUUAACAUUUUUUUCCCCAUUAUUUUACCAGAUUCAAAGAAAGGAAUUGUCAUUGCAGUCAUCAUUACUUUGAUUAUUUUGAUCGUUGUGGUGGUUACUGCCAUCCUUUUCCUUAAAAUAAAUGGUUAUCUUGCUGCUCGCCGUGAGAAACAAAUGAUUUCCAGGAUGCAAAGAGACAAGAGGACCUUCUUGCCCUUUUUGUCUAGUCAUUGGCUCUAAAUCUCAGCUUUACUGAAGGAACUGGAGCUCCUAACCAUCUGUGCCUUCAUAACUUUGACUGUUGCUUUCGGACCUCUCUGUCUCCUGGACCUCGUUGAUGGUGUUGGAAUGUCAUCCUUUGGUUCUGAAUACUAUGCUACAUAUGCAAAUAGCCUACUUAGUCAUCAAGGAGGAACAAUGAGAAUCUCUUACUGGCACCAAGCAGAGUUUUACAGGCGUGGCUGAUUGUGUAGAAAUAAUACCUACUAAAAAUGUCUAUUAUAUUAAGCAAAACAUAAAACACAUAUAGACCUGAAGUGGUAUACAUGAAAACCAAGGCAAGACAAGAGAUGUGUGUCUUCAGGGAAAUAUGAACAGCAACACAUGCAUAUGAAAAAUCUAAGCUUUAAUAAAUUUUACAUCUCUGUUCUACA